AGGCGCGGCUGGGCCGGAGGCCCAGGCUGCGCUGCACCCAGCUCCCCGCGAUGACAUCCAGUCGGCCAGGGCCCAGGGGCCAGGUUCUUCUGUAUAAAAGGAGAAAGUAUUCUCUCUCAAACAGUAAACUCCCUUUUAUCACAGAGCAGGCUCCAGGCUCAAAGCCCUAGAUGGAGAUAAAGUAUUUUGAGGAGGGAGGAGAGGGUAUUUCUCCAUUUACACAAAGAUACUCAUAUGGAGCUGGGGGCAGUUCUUCCCCAAAAGGAAACAUUGAACUCGAAGUUCCAUGAAAGCAAGGACUGUAGCUGUCAUGUCUACCAUUGUAUAUCCCAGCACCUAGCACUGGACCUAGUAUAAAUUUUGUGCUAAAUUAAUAUUUAUUGACUGCAUGGAUGAACUCUCUAUUUUAUUUACGGUUCUUCCAAUUUAUUGCUAUCUGUUUUCCAUUACUUACCUUCUCUUACCCUGAAAUUAUGCAUCUAGAAUGAAUUAUUUUAGUAAAAUUAUUGAUGAACAUAAUGGAAA